UACAUUCUUUAUUCCAAGUAGA
rnacentral:miRNA from 1 species